rnacentral:lncRNA from 1 species
CCCAGGGUUCGACCCUCCUAGAGCCACGGAAUCAGACAGUUGGCAGGUAGCUGAGGCCACCAUGUGAACAAAUGUAGACUGUGGUCAGCAGAACUCGGCUGUUAGCAGGCUGCUGGGAGUUUCAUGGACAUCUCGAGGGCCUGGCCAGGAAAGUUCUCUUUCUGGAAACCCAAGGGCUGAGUCAGCCUCCCAUCAGCCCAUUGCGUGGCCGACCGGCCAACUUGGAAGGAGCUGAUUCCCUCUGGCUUGAGUGA